rnacentral:lncRNA from 10 species
GCAGGAGGCAGGCCUCUGUAGAAAGCAGGAGCUGUUUCCAGGCUGGCUGAUUGGUCUUGACAAGCAGGGUUGAGGCAGAGCAGCUCCAUUGUCCUCUGCACUUUAAAAGGCCAGCGCCCCUCCCAGAAUCUUUCCUUGGAGGCCUGCUAAAAUAAUACAUUUAGACCCGCCAAACCCAAUCGCUUCCGUCUGUCAGGCUCCCUGUAAAUAGCACUUCUUAGCAGAGCUCAGCGAAAAUACGAUUCCAAACAGCAUGGGGGCAAUCAUGCAUCAAUCGAAGAAAAACAUUUUUCCCCUUCCCUUCCACCAACCCCCAUAAUUGCAUUUUAAAACCGUUCCUGUGUUUCUGGGAGAGACACCACGGUACCUGUUGCUUUUUAACUCGGAGCCGAGCGGCGCGGCAAAAUGAGGCUAAACACAGCAAAGUUAUUUUGAUUUAUUUCCUAACGUCGGAAUUUGGAGCUUGCUGCGGGGAUUCAGCCACGAGAAGACAAACUGAUGAAAAUGUAUUUUUCCCUGUCGUUACUCUUUUAAAUAGAUGGGUGUUUUAUUCUUCCUUUUUGCCACUUUGCUGUGCUAGACUGAGCUUUAUGGCACCCCGGCAUGCCGUCGCUUUGCUUCUCCCCUCAGAAGAGGCCGCCCCACUCUGGGAUUCUCUCCUCCCUGAUGCAGAGACCUGCAAGACCCCUUGGACAGUUUUGACUUUGGGUCUGGCAUUUCCCUCUUCAGGAGCCAGUUUUAAGGUCUAAUAGCCCCUUUGAGAGUGGAGGGGAUGCACCAAACCUCAGGCGACAUGAGACUGUAGCAUCCUUUCAUCUCUGAAUGAGUCAAGGUGGAACUAGGGGAGAGAGUUAUUAAGGAGCCAGAAGGACAGAAAAGAGAGAAGGUGAGUUUGAAGACAACCAUUUGCCAUCAGCCAGACUAAACUUGCCAAACGCUGGAUUUGACACCUGAAGCCACUUCUGGUUACCAGCUGGGAGGUGGCCUCCAUAGAUCUCUACCUGCAGAGUAGCAUUCAGUGCAACCUGCAUCCCUCCCCUGUCUUAGCCUGUCCUCCAAAUUCCGGCUAACUCCUGAGUGCUUGGUGGGGCGCAGUCCUCCAGGCCCCGCUGCCUCUAGGCUCCCAUGACGAGGGCUGCACGGGAGGCAAGAUGCGGAUGAUGGGGUGUCUGGGAGUCACCCUGGGGUACCAUGCCCUCCCUCUAGCUGCUUCUCCGCCCUCCCUCAAAUGCUUGCUGGGACAGCUCCACAUUCUCUUCCCUCAUCUCUGCAGAACAGCCUCCCUCCUGUGAAAAGUUUCCCUCCUACCCCAAACACAUCCACAGAGUUUUCUUAACAGAAAUUGUUCUCUCUCUUAGAUGAAUUCCAGUGCCAGCUGCUAGGGUGUUUCCACUUUGUGUGGGUACAAAAUGAGUUCCUGCACAGUCCUAACCCAGAGGCCUGGCCUUGCGAGGCCACAUGAGAGCUGCAGAACCUCUGCUCUGCCCCCAUGCCCUCGCUUUGGGGCGGCAGCCCCCGGGGGUGCUUGGAAGGAAAGAGGGCUGGGAAAGAACAUAGGGACUUGGGGAGGGGCUUUCCCCAGGGAAAUGCCUCAUCUGUCCACAGCCGCCCAUCCCCCUGAGUGGCCUCCUGCCACAACUGGGCCAGGUCACCACUGAUGCCUUGUGUGGCUUUCUUUCCUCUUGUAGACCCAGCCUGUGCUGAAGCCAGUUGGGGACACCUCCAGCCCCACGUGCGCUGGUGAGCUUGAGGCCUUCUUUAAGGCUAAGCAGAGGACCAGUCCUCCUCCUGGGGAGAGUGGGCAGGGAGGGCACUGUUCUGGGAGUUAUCUAGCUAUGCCACCUCCUAUGUGUGUGACUUUGGGGUGGCCAAUAAGCACCCCUGAGCGGCAGCUUCCUCAUCUGGCCAAUGUCUGUGUUGACUGUGAUCCUAGUGCCCGGCUCAGCUCAGACAUCCCUUGGCAUCUCAAACAAGGGGGUGCUGGGCCCUGCUGCCCAUCCACAAGUGCCCCAACCCUGCAUCAUCAGUGAAGAGGGCACUGUGAUGUCCCUGUGCAGAUGGGAACAGUUGAAGUCUGAGAGGCUAAGCGGCACGGCUCCCACAGAAUCUAGGCAGAAGACCCCGGCCUUCCAAAUCCCAGGCUGUCUCUGCACACCUGCGUAGAGAAGGACACGCCACACAGCCUGGCGAGGACGGCUUGCCAGCUGGGCUCCAGGGAGGCCCGGCAGGGUUGCCACGGAGACGCUAUUAUCAACAGCUAAGGCAGGUCUGUGCAGGCAGCGCCAACCACAGCGCCCCAGAGCUCCCCUGCCGUGGUCCAGGGGCCUCACGGUUCCAGUGCCAGAGGGUCCCAAGUCACAGGGCAGUGGGUUAGGCUGCUUGUGUUCAUGCUCCUCCCUCUGCCCUUUGAAAACCUGUGAGCCCAGGCAAGAUGCUCCACCAGCCCUGGACCUUAGCUCCCUGGGUGAUACAGUGUGCCGUGCCGCCUCGCAGGGUGCAGUGAGGGUUAAAUAAGGUAAUCUCUGUGAAGCACUUAGAACCAUGCCCACAGAUAAGAAGAAUACAGGAAACAAGCUAGGAUUUCUAGGCCUAUUCCCUCUGCAGCCCAGAGAGGAUGGACCCAAGGCAGAACCAUGCCUCCUGGCUGUCGCCAAAGCCCCCUUUUCUCUGUAUCAUGUAUUUAAAACGAACUUUGCUUGUGUUGUUCCCAAUCCCCUGAAACAGCCUUCCCCUUCCAGUCCCUAAAAAGCUGUUCUGACCCCAAAAGCCGGGCUGGCAGCAUCCAAGAAGCCGUUGCAAGCCACAGGCUCACGCUGGUGCCACGUCUCUCUCCUACUGGCUGGCAUUCCAUCAGAGACCUGCAGUUUCUGUCUUCCUAGUUAGGUACCCAUUUCUUGGUCUCAGGCUCUCCUCUCCUCUCCUCUGAGGCUGUGAGCUCCCAUUGAGAGCUGGGCAGACUCUACCUGCAAGCUCCUGGCCCCACCCUCUUCCAGGUGAGCUCAUGUGAGACCUGAAUGUGGAGGCUCUCUGUAAACAGGCUGAGGGAGGAAGUUUAUCAGGUCAUAGCUCCUGCCCCCAAGUGCCCCAGCUGUGAAAUGAGGGUGAAAUAGUAGCUGCUAGUUAAGGGACCUCACCAUAUGCAAAGCCCUGGGCUUUCCUGUCCCAUUCUAUCCUUACAAACUUAUUUUUUCAGGCAGGGAAACACAGGCUCAAGGCAGCUGCGUAACUUGCCCAAGGUCACACAGAAAGUUGCAGAGCAGAGUAUUCUAGAUCUCGGGCCUUGCCUGACCCACAGUCGGACUCUGAGCCGCCAUCGCUCACUCAGUCAGCUGAUGCCAGAACCAUCCAAUGGUGUCACGCUCCCUGAGGGCCGGUGCCAGGCCUAGCUCCCCCAACCCUCUUCUCCACCUAUGCUAAAUCAGUGAAUGAUUGAGCCAGUGACAGAAUUACAUUGUCGACUUCAUGAAUGUGCUUCUAAAAGAAUCAGAUACUUUUCAAACACCAGGUACAUGGUACACUGAGGAAGAGAAGCUGAGGGAGCCGAGGCCAGGGGGGUGCAGCUUUGCCACUGUCACCAGAAGCAGGCCCAGAAGCCUCUCCACAGCCCCCGGCCUAUGCAGGACUCCUGGGACUUGAUUAGGGUGAUUUAUUUUCCUAGCAGGGCAGGAGGCUGUGGGGGCCAGCCUGAGGGAGGUCUGGGCAGCAGUAUCCCAUUAUCUCUCCUGGGGCAAGUUAGAGAGGAGCAGGCGGUUACAGUCCCUGCUUCCAAAGGCUUCUGGAAAAUAAGACGACCGUCUGGCCACGGCUGGGCCUGAUUCUCUCUCAUCUGCUAGAAACAGUUCAGACAGAGGGCAGCCCUUGAACUUGGGCUGGGGAGGGUGUGUUUCUGUGCCUGCGCUGACGCAGCUCUCCAUCCCUCUCCCUUGCCUGCCUCCUUGAGAAGAGGCAGGGGAUGCUGGCAGGGAGUCCUCAGGGGGCUUCUCUGAUUAGAGGCUCGUCCUGGCCACCUGGGUCCUACUGAGAGGAAAGUGGCUUCCCCCGGGGCUGCAAGCAAGUUGGCUUCAGUGCAGUCCCCUCUCGGGGGAGGCCUGCGGGCUGUGGAAAUGAUGAAGCUCCUCCCUUGUGACAACACGGCCACCUCCCACGCUGGGUACCAUGGAGGAGCAGAGCCGGGUGAGACCUAGGAGGCCUUCUAGAACAGGGACCAGAGGCUCCGAGAGAAGAAACGCUGUGCUUUGGAAGACAGAGUUAGCGGCCACCCUGGAUUGCGCGUGAGACCUGGACAGAUGGCAACUGCCAUGUUGGUGCCUGUGAGCGGGAAGAUGCUACCAGGGAGGCACGAGGCCUUAAACAAGCAUGUGCAGUGUCAGCAUUGACUCGGACCAGCCCAGGCAGGGGCGCGACGGUCCAUUUGGCCUGGUUUUUGAGAAGUUUGGGGGAAUUUUGUUUCAGGUUUUGGAAAGGCUUCAAAUGAAGGCGUGAAUGAGGAACAGGAAAGUAUGGCAGGAAAAUCCACCACGAGCUGGGGGCUGUCAGCUCUGGAUCCAGUCCUGGUUGACCCUCCCUUGCUGAGUUACUUGAUCCCAUUCCCAAGCCUCUCUGUCUUCUUAUUUGUGAAACGCAGAAAAUAAUCCCACUGCACCAACUUCCCAAGGGAGCCGUGGAAGAUCCAGCACACAAAAACAAUUAGUUACAAGCCCACACACAGAAGGGGGGCUAUUAUCGUGCAUGCAUGCCCACGACAGGAUGCAUUUGGCCUCCGAGAAGGGGCCAGGACUUGUCACGGCAAGGAAGUGUGCUUUCACAGAGGGUGUAUGAACAGGUAGUAUUGAUGGAGCACUGCCAGGUGCCAGAGUGUGCAGAGGGAGUCUCCUCACCAGUGUAAUCUUUAUAACCACCCUUCAGGAUGAGUUCCACUACAUCCAUUUCCGGGUCAACCAUCAGAAACCCAGAGAGGUUAAAGGGCCUGCUGACAGUCACGCAGCUGGUCUGAGUGGAGGAGCAGGAAGUUCAGCGGAGGCCAGUCUGCUUCCGGGCCACCAUCUUCCACAAAGUUCAGGCUCUAAAGAUGAGAAAACUGAGGCCCAGAGUAGCGAUGUGACUCACCUAAGGUCAUGCGGCUGAGGAGCUGGCUCGGGAGUACACAUCUGCCCAGGCACCUGCACCACACCUAACAGGCAGAACGCAAUGGGCUCAGUUGCCUCAUCUGCAAAAUAGACUCUCAGCAUCCAUCCUGCACCUGGCAAAGGAGGCGGAGAAGGGCAAGGAUUCCACCCCCAAGCCGGCCACGCCGCCCGCCGUCCUGCUCCAACACCCACAGAAAGACAGGAAAUGGCUCGCCCAGGAUUCUCACUUGGCCUUCCCUUCUAGCAUCCACUUUAAGAUUGGCAGGGGCUGCUCUGAGCAAAGCCACCGCAGCUGUGACCCCUUGAGGUCAGUGUUCGUGGCAGGGGCUGCAGGGUUGUGAUGGGCCAGACAUUGAGGAUAGCACUUGAGAGGGCUGGGGACCCUCUGCUUUGGCAUUCUAAAGGUCUGAGUCCCUCCUAGGACAGGCCAGAGACAGCAUCUAAAGAUACCCAGAGAUAGGGACGCAGCAGGCCCAGUGGGCUGCUAGAAUCCCAGCAGCCAGGAGAGUGAUGUGUCCCAGCAGAGGAGGCCACUGGAACAGAGCAAAAACCACAGGAACCGAAACUUCCCGGGUGCCCAUGAGUCACCACCCUGUGAGGGCUGGGCCCUGGGGCUGGGUGGGAACUUUCCCAGGCCUUGACCCUCAGCUCAAGGGCAUGUCCCUUGACCCCAUGACAACACAAAGAGAGGGCUGCAGCCUGGGGUUCACACCCUGGUAUGUCUCUGUCUUACUCUCAGUAUCUCUGCCAAGAGAUCAUUUGAUUCAUUAAUUAGUGUAAGUAUGUAUAUCUUUAGAAUAGGAAAUACAGGCAUAUUGCAAAAAAAAAAAAAAAGUGAAAAUCAAGCCUCCUCCCCUCCCCUGUUCUUCACUAUCAAGUUCCUCUGCCCCCAAGUCUCCUCCUUGGAGGCCUCCACUCCUACCAGUUUCUUUAAAGCCAUAUAUGUUUGUAUAUGCAUUUAGAAACCCAAAUGCAAACAUGUGUGUGUUCAUUCUUUUCCUCUUUUUACACAAAUGGUAGCAUGUCAAUAUACCUUGGAACCCUCUCCUUAUAGAAACAUACAGGGUCCAUUCUCCUUUCUUCAGUGGUUUAAAUCAAUACUAAUAUGUAUUUCGUAUAAUUCUGUGGGUUGAAGAGGCACAGUUGGGAGGUCCUCCAUUCCAUGUGACGUAGCUAAUGUCAUCUGUAUGUUGGUUCUGCUUAACAGUUGUGUAGAGUCCCAUUGUACGGACAUCAUUGUUUAUUUAAUCAGUCCCCUAUUGAUUAACAUUUGGAGAUUGACAAUCUUUUGCUUUGAUAAAUAAUGCCACAGUGAAUGAGGAGCACACACGUCCCCUGUGUAUCCGCAUGAUGAAAUCCUAGGGUUGGCUGUGCCGGUCAGAGGGAAGAGCAGGUGUGGUUUGGCAGGGGCUCCCAGUGGCUCUCCCAGACACGCUGAUUCCUCUUCCUGCCAGCCCCACACUCUGGCACCUGUCCUUGCACCCUCAGCAGCAGAGUGUGCCAUACUUUUGAUCUUUUUGAUAUAAUGGUUCAAAAAGGGUCUUUUUUUUUUUUUUUUGAGACAGGGUUUCUCUCCCAUUGCCCCGGCUGGAGUGCAAUGGCACGACCUCAGCUCACUGCAAUCUUUGCCUCCCAGGCUCACAUGAUUCUCCUGCCUCAGUGUCUGGAGUAGCUGGGACUACAGGCACAUGCCACUGCACGCAGCUAAUUUUUGUAUUUUUAAUAGAGAUCUGCCUGCCUUGGCCUCCCAAAGUGCUGGGGUUACAGGCGUGAGCCACCACACUCGGCCUAAAAGAGGGUCUUUUAUUGAAGUUUUAAUUUGCAUUUCUUUUAUGAGUAAGGCUGAGUAACUUUUCAUCUAUUUAAGAGCCACUUAUAUAUUCUUUUGAAACGGUCUUCCUAUAUUUUGCCCA